UACGGAGGGGGCAAGCGUUAAUCGGAAUUACUGGGCGUAGAGCGUGCGCAGGCGGUUUUGUAAGCCAGAUGUGAAAUCCCCGGGCUUAACCUGGGAAUGGCGUUUGAAACUACGGAGCUGGAGUGUGGCAGAGGGAGGUAGAAUUCCACGUGUAGCGGUGAAAUGCGUAGAUAUGUGGAGGAAUACCGAUGGCGAAGGCAGCCUCCUGGGCCAACACUGACGCUCAUGCACGAAAGCGUGGGGAGCAAACAGG
rnacentral:rRNA from 1 species